rnacentral:rRNA from 1 species
GUGUCAGCCGCCGCGGUAAGACGUAGGGGGCCAGCGUUGCUCGGAAUUACUGGGCGUAAAGGGUUCGUAGGCGGUGCGGCAAGUCGGAAGUGAAAUCUCCAGGCUUAACUUGGAGGCUGCUCCCGAAACUGCCGUGCUAGAGUGCGGGAGAGGCGAGUGGAAUUGCAGGUGUAGCGGUGAAAUGCGUAGAUAUCUGCAGGAACACCCGUGGCGAAGGCGGCUCGCUGGACCGCAACUGACGCUGAGGAACGAAAGCUAGGGGAGCAAACAGGAUUAGAUACCCCAGUAGUCC